UGUAGGUACCGUAAGAAAAAGGACCGGCUAAUUCCGUGCCAGCAGCCGCGGUAAUACGGAAGGUCCGGGCGUUAUCCGGAUUUAUUGGGUUUAAAGGGAGCGCAGGCGGUCUGUUAAGCGUGUGGUGAAAUGUAGGCGCUCAACGUCUAACGUGCCACGCGAACUGGCGGACUUGAGUGCACUGAACGUUGGCGGAAUUCGUGGUGUAGCGGUGAAAUGCUUAGAUAUCACGAAGAACUCCGAUUGCGAAGGCAGCUGACGGUAGUGUUACUGACGCUCAUGCUCGAAAGUGUGGGUAUCGAACAGGAUUAGAUACCCUG
rnacentral:rRNA from 1 species